rnacentral:snoRNA from 1 species
AAGACUAUACUUUUAGGGAUCAUUUCUAUAGUGUGAAACUAGAGAAAUGGACUUGAAAGUGAUUGGUUGAGCAAACCACAAGGACAAGGCACAGUGUUCUCUUCUGAGCGUGAAGUGAGUUGUGGGUUUUGCCGCUUUUUGCAAUCACCUGUGACUAUGGAUGACCAUUCUGCCUCCUUCUUUGUGGGGAGGCUGGAGAGAAAGAAUGCAGGCUGAGUGGU